ensembl:misc_RNA 7SK 7SK RNA
GGAUGUGAGGGUGAUCUGGCUGUGACAUCUGUCACUCCAUUGAUUGCCAGGGUUGAUUUGGCUGAUCUGGCUGGCUAGGCGGGUGUCCCCUUCUUCCCUCAACGCUCCACGUGCGUCCCUCCUGAAGCUGCGUGCUCAGUCAAAGAGGACGACCAUCCCCAAUAAAGGAGGACCAGUCUUCAGUCAAGGGUAUACAAGUAUCUUCUCUUCCUAGCUAGAACCUCCAAACAAGUUCUUAAGAUCCGUUGUAGGAGAACGUAGGGUAGUCAAGCUUCCAAGACUUCAGACACAUCCUAAUGAGGCGCUGCAUGUGGCAGUCUGCCUUUAAAA